UACGUAGGAGGCGAGCGUUGUCCGGAAUUACUGGGUGUAAAGCGCGUGUAGGCGGUGAGUUAAGUCUGUUGUGAAAGCGCCCGGCUCAACCGGGCAGAGUCAAUGGAAACUAGCGCACUGGAGGUCGGUAGAGGCGAGUGGAAUUCCCGGUGUAGUGGUGAAAUGCGUAGAUAUCUGGAGGAAUACCGGUGGCGAAGGCGGCAUCCUGGACCGACAUUGACGCUGAGGAGCGAAAGCUAGGGGAGCAAACGGG
rnacentral:rRNA from 1 species